GACGAACGCUGGCGGUGUGCUUCACACAUGCAAGUCGAACGAGGUAGCAAUACCUAGUGGCGGACGGGUGAGUAACGCGUGGGAAUCUGCCCAUAGGUGGGGGAUAACUAGCCGAAAGGUUAGCUAAUACCGCAUAUGCCGAGAGGUAAAAGGAGUAAUCCGCCUUUGGAUGAGCCCGCGUCCGAUUAGCUAGUUGGUAGGGUAAAAGCCUACCAAGGCUACGAUCGGUAGCUGGUCUGAGAGGAUGAUCAGCCACAAUGGGACUGAGACACGGCCCAUACUCCUACGGGAGGCAGCAGUGGGGAAUUUUACGCAAUGGGGGGAAACCCUGACGUAGCGACACCGCGUGAACGAAGAAGCCCUUUGGGGUGUAAAGUUCUGUCGGCUGGAACGAAAAAAUAGACGGUACCAGCAAAGGAAGCAUCGGCUAACUACGUGCCAGCAGCCGCGGUAAU
rnacentral:rRNA from 1 species